rnacentral:misc_RNA from 1 species
GGGGAAUACAGCAUUACACAUUGCAGUCUUGAAGAGACGUACUGAGAAUGUGCGUUGCCUAAUAUCUGUUAAUGGUAUCAACAUCAAUGCCAUCAACAAGAAUGGAGAGACCCCACUUGACAUUGCAGAAAAAUUUGGAUCUUCAGAACUUGUAAACAUCUUGAAGGAAGCAGGGGCAGUCAAUUCCAAAGACCAGGGCAAACCCCCAAGUGCAGCCAAACAACUCAAGCAGACGGUUAGUGACAUAAAGCACGAUGUUGAAUCCCAACUACAGCAGACCCGCCAAACCGGUUUUAGGGUUCAAAGAAUUGCAAAAAGGUUAAAGAAACUUCACAUUAGUGGCCUCAACAAUGCCAUA